rnacentral:rRNA from 1 species
AGAGUUUGAUCCUGGCUCAGAGUGAACGCUGGCGGCGUGCCUAAUACAUGCAAGUCGAACGAUGAAGCUUCUAGCUUGCUAGAAGCGGAUUAGUGGCGCACGGGUGAGUAACGCAUAGGUCAUGUGCCUCUUAGUUUGGGAUAGCCAUUGGAAACGAUGAUUAAUACCAGAUACUCCCUACGGGGGAAAGAUUUAUCGCUAAGAGAUCAGCCUAUGUCCUAUCAGCUUGUUGGUAAGGUAAUGGCUUACCAAGGCUAUGACGGGUAUCCGGCCUGAGAGGGUGAACGGACACACUGGAACUGAGACACGGUCCAGACUCCUACGGGAGGCAGCAGUAGGGAAUAUUGCUCAAUGGGGGAAACCCUGAAGCAGCAACGCCGCGUGGAGGAUGAAGGUUUUAGGAUUGUAAACUCCUUUUGUUAGAGAAGAUAAUGACGGUAUCUAACGAAUAAGCACCGGCUAACUCCGUGCCAGCAGCCGCGGUAAUACGGAGGGUGCAAGCGUUACUCGGAAUCACUGGGCGUAAAGAGCGCGUAGGCGGGAUAGUCAGUCAGGUGUGAAAUCCUAUGGCUUAACCAUAGAACUGCAUUUGAAACUACUAUUCUAGAGUGUGGGAGAGGUAGGUGGAAUUCUUGGUGUAGGGGUAAAAUCCGUAGAGAUCAAGAGGAAUACUCAUUGCGAAGGCGACCUGCUGGAACAUUACUGACGCUGAUUGCGCGAAAGCGUGGGGAGCAAACAGGAUUAGAUACCCUGGUAGUCCACGCCCUAAACGAUGGAUGCUAGUUGUUGGAGGGCUUAGUCCCUCCAGUAAUGCAGCUAACGCAUUAAGCAUCCCGCCUGGGGAGUACGGUCGCAAGAUUAAAACUCAAAGGAAUAGACGGGGACCCGCACAAGCGGUGGAGCAUGUGGUUUAAUUCGAAGAUACACGAAGAACCUUACCUAGGCUUGACAUUGAGAGAAUCCGCUAGAAAUAGUGGAGUGUCUAGCUUGCUAGACCUUGAAAACAGGUGCUGCACGGCUGUCGUCAGCUCGUGUCGUGAGAUGUUGGGUUAAGUCCCGCAACGAGCGCAACCCCCUUUCUUAGUUGCUAACAGGUCAUGCUGAGAACUCUAAGGAUACUGCCUCCGUAAGGAGGAGGAAGGUGGGGACGACGUCAAGUCAUCAUGGCCCUUACGCCUAGGGCUACACACGUGCUACAAUGGGGUGCACAAAGAGAAGCAAUACUGCGAAGUGGAGCCAAUCUUCAAAACGCCUCUCAGUUCGGAUUGUAGGCUGCAACUCGCCUGCAUGAAGCUGGAAUCGCUAGUAAUCGCAAAUCAGCCAUGUUGCGGUGAAUACGUUCCCGGGUCUUGUACUCACCGCCCGUCACACCAUGGGAGUUGUGUUUGCCUUAAGUCAGGAUGCUAAAUUGGCUACUGCCCACGGCACACACAGCGACUGGGGUGAAGUCGUAACAAGGUAACCGUAGGUGAACCUGCGGUUGGAUCACCU